rnacentral:tRNA from 1 species
GCGCUUUUAGCUCAGUUGGUAGAGCAACUGACUCUUAAUCAGUGGGUCCAGGGUUCGAGUCCCUGAAGGCGCACCA